rnacentral:rRNA from 1 species
ACUCCUACGGGAGGCAGCAGUGGGAAUAUUGCACAAUGGGCGCAAGCCUGAUGCAGCCAUGCCGCGUGUGUGAAGAAGGCCUUCGGGGUUGUAAAAGCACUUUCAGUCGUGAGGAAGGUAGUGUAGUUAAUAGCUGCAUUAUUUGACGUUAGCGACAGAAGAAGCACCGGCUAACUCCGUGCCAGCAGCCGCGGUAAUACGGAGGGUGCGAGCGUUAAUCGGAAUUAUUGGGCGUAAANCGCAUGUAGGCGGCUUUUUAAGUCGAUGUGAAAG